rnacentral:rRNA from 1 species
AGUGAACGCUGGCGGUAGGCCUAACACAUGCAAGUCGAACGGCAGCACAGUAAGAGCUUGCUCUUACGGGUGGCGAGUGGCGGACGCGUGAGGAAUACAUCGGAAUCUACUUUUUCGUGGGGGAUAACGUAGGGAAACUUACGCUAAUACCGCAUACGACCUACGGGUGAAAGCAGGGGAUCUUCGGACCUUGCGCGAUUGAAUGAGCCGAUGUCGGAUUAGCUAGUUGGCGGGGUAAAGGCCCACCAAGGCGACGAUCCGUAGCUGGUCUGAGAGGAUGAUCAGCCACACUGGAACUGAGACACGGUCCAGACUCCUACGGGAGGCAGCAGUGGGGAAUAUUGGACAAUGGGCGCAAGCCUGAUCCAGCCAUACCGCGUGGGUGAAGAAGGCCUUCGGGUUGUAAAGCCCUUUUGUUGGGAAAGAAAAGCAGCAGGUUAAUACCCCGCUGUUCUGACGGUACCCAAAGAAUAAGCACCGGCUAACUUCGUG